UACGGAGGAUUCGAGCGUUAUCCGGAUUUAUUGGGUUUAAAGGGUGCGUAGGCGGAAAUGUAAGUCAGUGGUGAAAUCCUGCAGCUUAACUGUAGAAUAGCCGUUGAAACUGUGUUUCUUGAGUACAUUUGAGGUAGGCGGAAUGUGGUGUGUAGCGGUGAAAUGCAUAGAUAUACCACAGAACACCGAUUGCGAAGGCAGCUUACUAAACUGUCACUGACGCUGAUGCACGAAAGCGUGGGUAUCAAACAGGAUUAGA
rnacentral:rRNA from 1 species